GGGGUAAUAGGCCUACCAAGGCAACGAUACGGUAGCCGGCCUGAGAGGGUGAACGGCCACAUUGGGACUGAGACACGGCCAGACUCCUACGGGAGGCAGCAGUGGGGAAUNAUGGGCAAUUGGGGGAAACCCUGACCCAGCGACGCCGCGUGGAGGAUGAAGGCCCUCGGGUUGUA
rnacentral:rRNA from 1 species